ACUUGUCAAUAGUUCAGAAGCCUUUGUCUCAUUUCCUUUUCUUCUCUUCUCAUUUCCUUCCAUUCUUAUAGAGAUUGUGGUUGUGGAGCUGGACAUCUUCGACUUCUUUUUAUUCUCAACCUUCCCCCUUAAGAUGGAGGGGAGCAAAGUGAGACCCAGCUUGUGAAGAAGAUGAUGAUGCGAAGGUCCUGACAAGGGCUUUGUGAAGAUGUCCGCUAGCUGGUCUUUGGAAGAAACAAAAGAGAGUGAAAUAAGAUCGGAGAGCUAUUGUUGUCGAACAAAAUGACAGUCAAGCUCGACAUGCUUCGUUCUUUCAUGAAAGAUGGAAUUCCGAGCAAUAUGCAUCGCUGCUUGACUGUCAGAAUAUAGUGGAACUAUUAACGAUGAAGCAACUGAUAGAUCGAAAAGGAGACGAGUUAACCAUGUAAGUUCUGCUACCAAACGACGCGUUGAUCUAUACUCUGCUUCAGCAAAGGAUGGAGAUACAAAUGUUUGUUUUUUUGAUUUCCAAAAAACAGGAGAUCCACCCAUAUUAAUAAAGAAUCCACUUACAGAUCGACGCGAAUCUCGACAGAAAGCCCAAUCAGCGUCGCAGAAGGCGUUGAGAGCAAAUUAUGGUGAGCAAGAUAGAAAAAGUCCCCAACUUGGAUUCCCUUUCAGAUAACUUGAUCGAAGGAACUAUUAGAGAAGAAGCUGGUGCAAGAUGGGACACAUCAAAUUCUUGAAGUAAAUUCAAGCUGAUAAGGUUGUGCUCUACUGGACGGUCCAAAAUGACGCUCUAAACUAUUCCGUAGCUGUUUGGCAGUCCUGGAGUAAAUGACAUUAUGCUUGAUGUCUUUAGAAGACAAUGAAUUCAAGGGCCAAGAUGUCACCAUGUCGUGCAUCUGCUCCAAGCUUGCAGAUCUGAAGAUUCAGCAGAAGGUUCAACUUGUGAUCCUGUAUUGAAUCUAACUUUAUUCUUUGCUGACAAAGCAAUAAGAAUAGACCUCCUCAACUCCUGUUAACCUUUCCCAUUAAAAGGGUUAUUCAUAAAUAAGGUCAUAUCAGAAGCAUCAGAGGCAUGAAGGUGAUAAGGUCUGUUGAAAUCAAAGUUGGAAGUGCUGGUUGUAAUGAUAGUCGAAUCCUUGGCCAUAUCUUGAACGAGAAAAGGAAGCAGAUGAGGAAAUUAUGAAAAUCUAGGCAAAAAAUUUAGUGCUCUGGUACCAUGUAGAAAUUCAGAAGAACAAUUAGAAAAAAAAAUUUCGUUAUAAUACUCUGUACAGUAUUACAUGUAUUCAUUCAUACGAUGUUGGCAAAAUUAAAUAUAAUAAAGACUAUUUGAAUCC